GAUGAACGCUGGCGGCGUGCCUAACACAUGCAAGUCGAGCGAACAGACGAGGCUCUCGCUCCUCUUACGUUAGCGGCGGACGGGUGAGUAACACGUGGAUAACCUACCUUUAAGACUGGUAUACCUUCGGGAGACCGGAUCCAAUACCGGACAAGAUAUUGAACCUCAUGGAUCAAUAGUGCACGACGGUUUUGCUGACACUUAUAGCGGGUACCCCGCCGCAUUGGCUAGUUGGUAAGGUAACGGCUUACCAAGGCGACGAUGCGUAGCAGGACUGAGAGGAUGCUCAGCCACACUGGAACUGAGACACGGUCCAGACUCCUACGGGAGGCAGCAGUAGGGAAUAUUCCACAAUGGGCGAAAGCCUGACGCAGCCACGCCGCGUGAGUGAUGAAGGUCUUCGGAUCGUAAAGCACUGUUAUUAGGGAAGAACAGCUGUGUGUGAAAACCUGCACGUCUUGACGGUACCUAAUCAGAAAGCAACGGCUAACUUCGUG
rnacentral:rRNA from 1 species